CAUGCAAGUCGAGCGGAGAUUUGAAAAGCUUGCUUUUCAAAUCUUAGCGGCGGACGGGUGAGUAACACGUGGGCAACCUGCCCUUGAGACGGGGAUAACUCCGGGAAACCGGAGCUAAUACCGGAUAACACAUAUCUUCGCAUGAUGAUAUGUUAGAAGGUGGCUUUUAGCUACCACUCAAGGAUGGGCCCGCGGCGCAUUAGCUAGUUGGUGAGGUAACGGCUCACCAAGGCGACGAUGCGUAGCCGACCUGAGAGGGUGAUCGGCCACACUGGGACUGAGACACGGCCCAGACUCCUACGGGAGGCAGCAGUAGGGAAUCUUCCGCAAUGGACGAAAGUCUGACGGAGCAACGCCGCGUGAGUGAUGAAGGUUUUCGGAUCGUAAAGCUCUGUUGUUAGGGAAGAACAAGUAUCUGUUGAAUAAGCAGGUACCUUGACGGUACCUAACCAGAAAGCCACGGCUAACUACGUGCCAGCAGCCGCGGUAAUACGUAGGUGGCAAGCGUUGUCCGGAAUUAUUGGGCGUAAAGCGCGCGCAGGCGGUUCCUUAAGUCUGAUGUGAAAGCCCACGGCUCAACCGUGGAGGGUCAUUGGAAACUGGGGAACUUGAGUGCAGAAGAGGAGAGCGGAAUUCCACGUGUAGCGGUGAAAUGCGUAGAGAUGUGGAGGAACACCAGUGGCGAAGCGGCUCUCUGGUCUGUAACUGACGCUGA
rnacentral:rRNA from 1 species